CAAAAGUUUGUUUGUCGUUGCA
rnacentral:siRNA from 1 species